UUUUGAAUGAUGACUUAAAUUGUCGGAUACCCCUUCACUCCUAUUAUGAGUGAAACAUAAUAAGUCUGACAAAU